AUUGAACGCUGGCGGCAUGCCUUACACAUGCAAGUCGAACGGCAGCACGGGAGCAAUCCUGGUGGCGAGUGGCGAACGGGUGAGUAAUAUAUCGGAACGUGCCCAGUCGUGGGGGAUAACGUAGCGAAAGCUACGCUAAUACCGCAUACGAUCUAUGGAUGAAAGCGGGGGAUCGCAAGACCUUGCGCGAUUGGAGCGGCCGAUAUCAGAUUAGGUAGUUGGUGAGGUAAAGGCUCACCAAGCCGACGAUCUGUAGCUGGUCUGAGAGGACGACCAGCCACACUGGGACUGAGACACGGCCCAGACUCCUACGGGAGGCAGCAGUGGGGAAUUUUGGACAAUGGGCGCAAGCCUGAUCCAGCAAUGCCGCGUGCAGGAUGAAGGCCUUCGGGUUGUAAACUGCUUUUGUACGGAGCGAAAAGGCUUCCACUAAUACUGGGGGCUCAUGACGGUACCGUAAGAAUAAGCACCGGCUAACUACGUGCCAGCCGCCGCUGUAAUAC
rnacentral:rRNA from 1 species